GAUGAAGAACGCAGCGAAAUGCGAUAAGUAGUGUGAAUUGCAGAAUUCAGUGAAUCAUCGAAUCUUUGAACGCACAUUGCGCCCUUUGGUAUUCCAAAGGGCAUGCCUGUUCGAGCGUCAUUUGUACCCUCAAGCUUUGCUUGGUGUUGGGCGUCUUGUCUCUAGCUUUGCUGGAGACUCGCCUUAAAGUAAUUGGCAGCCGGCCUACUGGUUUCGGAGCGCAGCACAAGUCGCACUCUCUAUCAGCAAAGGUCUAGCAUCCAUUAAGCCUUUUUUUCAACCUUUGACCUCGGAUCAGGUAGGGAUACCCGCUGAACUUAAGCAUAUCAAUAAGCGGAGGA
rnacentral:misc_RNA from 1 species